CCAGACUCCUACGGGAGGCAGCAGUGGGGAAUAUUGCACAAUGGGGGGAACCCUGAUGCAGCGACGCCGCGUGGGCGAGGAAGUAUUUCGGUAUGUAAAGCCCUAUCGGCAGGGAAGAAGAAAUGACGGUACCUGAAUAAGAAGCACCGGCUAAAUACGUGCCAGCAGCCGCGGUAAUACGUAUGGUGCAAGCGUUAUCCGGAUUUACUGGGCGUAAAGGGAGCGCAGGCGGCGCGGCAAGUCUGAUGUGAAAGCCCGGGGCUCAACCCCGGGUCUGCAUUGGAAACUGUCGAGCUAGAGUGUCGGAGGGGUAAGCGGAAUUCCUAGUGUAGCGGUGAAAUGCGUAGAUAUUAGGAGGAACACCAGUGGCGAAGGCGGCUUACUGGACGAUGACUGACGCUGAGGCUCGAAAGCGUGGGGAGCAAACAGGAUUAGAUACCCUCGUAA
rnacentral:rRNA from 1 species